ACGAAAGGCGUAACGAUUUGGGCACUGUCUCAACGAGAGACUCGGUGAAAUCAUAGUACCUGUGAAGAUGCAGGUUACCCGCGACAGGACGGAAAGACCCCGUGGAGCUUUACUGUAGCCUGAUAUUGAAAUUCGGCACAGCUUGUACAGGAUAGGUAGGAGCCUUUGAAACGUGAGCGCUAGCUUACGUGGAGGCGCUGGUGGGAUACUACCCUAGCUGUGUUGGCUUUCUAACCCGCACCACUUAUCGUGGUGGGAGACAGUGUCAGGCGGGCAGUUUGACUGGGGCGGUCGCCUCCUAAAAGGUAACGGAGGCGCUCAAAGGUUCCCUCAGAAUGGUUGGAAAUCAUUCAUAGAGUGUAAAGGCAUAAGGGAGCUUGACUGCGAGACCUACAAGUCGAGCAGGGUCGAAAGACGGACUUAGUGAUCCGGUGGUUCCGCAUGGAAGGGCCAUCGCUCAACGGAUAAAAGCUACCCCGGGGAUAACAGGCUUAUCUCCCCCAAGAGUUCACAUCGACGGGGAGGUUUGGCACCUCGAUGUCGGCUCAUCGCAUCCUGGGGCUGUAGUCGGUCCCAAGGGUUGGGCUGUUCGCCCAUUAAAGCGGUACGCGAGCUGGGUUCAGAACGUCGUGAGACAGUUCGGUCCCUAUCCGUCGUGGGCGUAGGAAAUUUGAGAGGAGCUGUCCUUAGUACGAGAGGACCGGGAUGGACAUACCUCUGGUGUACCAGUUGUCGUGCCAACGGCAUAGCUGGGUAGCUAUGUGUGGACGGGAUAAGUGCUGAAAGCAUCUAAGCAUGAAGCCCCCCUCAAGAUGAGAUUUCCCAACUUCGGUUAUAAGAUCCCUCAAAGAUGAUGAGGUUAAUAGGUUCGAGGUGGAAGCAUGGUGACAUGUGGAGCUGACGAAUACUAAUCGAUCGAAGACUUAAUCAAAA
rnacentral:rRNA from 1 species